UGGUGGCUUGGGCUUGGGGUGGUUGUAUUUUGAUAGUUUUCGGAUUUUUGCUUCUGAUUUUUGCCUUUUGCAACUUUGUGAUGUUACGUAAAUCGUAGGAUCCCGCAUCGGUUGGAUUUUGUUCUGAGUGCUUUUUCCCCUGUCUAAUCUUUCAAGUGCUUUAAAGACGAUGUGUUAUUUUAAUACUGAUACUAUUGAAAGAAGCUUACAUUUUUGGUCGUACGUAACAAUCCCAACCCCCACUUGGGGGGGGUGUAAUUGUCUCUCUCCCCUUGGACUUUUACUGAAAGGAGGCUUUCCUGCACUUGAGAGACGUGUUGAAAGGAUUUGUUUUGUUUUGAUUUGUUUCUUUCCAGGACAGCAAGUGGUGGGUUUUACUCUUUCUGUUAUUGUUGACUCUUAGGAAAUUUAUUGCUGCGAGAAAUGGUGUGUAUUCGGGGAGAGGGGUAUGUGUAUGCCUGUGUUCUACAGAAUUCUGUGAGCCAAAUAAAUGUUUGUGUUUUGCUUUUUCUUAAGGUCUUGAUUUCCCCCUCCCUCCCAGCUCCUUUCAAGGUCGUUGUAAAAAAUCUCUCCUGUCUGUGUUUAAAGCGAUCAGCCGGAGGGAAUUCUAAAGGCCUGCCGUGCCAGUAUCACAGAUACUGCGUGUAUUUAGAACAGACUGUGCUACAACUACACCACGCUGCACGCAGCACAGUCCUCAGCUUUAGAGCUGAGUUAGGAGGACGAGGAAAGGGGGGAAAUCUUUCUUUUUUCCUUCCUUUCUUUUUAAAGGCAAAUGCAAGUGCAGAAUCAUUUCACUGUGGGCCUUGGUUUGUUUAUUCAGAACUGCCAGUUUCCCUAUUUAAAUGUUGGUUGGGGUUUUUUCCCCUCCUACUCAUCCCUGAAUGAGGGAGACUCUUGUUUCUUUUAUGUCUCUCUCUUAAAAGAAGGGUGUGAGGGGAAAAUAAUAUUUCAGAUUCCUCAAGUAUUAACCCAAAAUGUUUGGACCAGAAGCAGCUUUCAAAGGUCAGGCUGUUCUGAGUCUUGGCUAUAAGAGUCCUUCAGGCGACUCAUUAAAUUACAGAUGAGUUCUUAAAGGUUCAACAAAAUUUCUGCACAUGUUAAUUUCUAAUAAGAUAUCUCACAAAAGAAUCUACCUUUCCCAACCCCAAAUUUGGGUUUACAGUGGAGAAGUGAGCAGAGUUAUGAAAGAUUGCUGGCUGUUUCCUGGGAUAUUUGGGUUCUUUCCCUAAAGUCCGUAAGAAGUUCAGAUCUGUCGUUCAAAAUGUUGCUGUUAGUGCAGCCCCCUUUUGAAAAGGCUGUGUUGGGGUUUUUAGAACCAGGAGAGAUCCAGAGGGGCUGAUUAUUUUCCACAAGGGCUGGAGCUUAGGAAAUAUGCAUAAGUGUCUGUCCCUGUGAAAUCUGAAUAUUUUAAUACUUAUUGACAGAUGGAUUACUGCAGCCUCUGCAGAAAAGCCUGUCUUGUGAAGGAUUUUUGAAAAAUAUACAUGGGCCUAAUCCUGUCACUGUUGUCGAAAUGAACAUUUUACCCCCCAAAGACUCAUGAUAUCCUCAAGUGCAGAUUUAUUUCGCCAGAAGGCAGACUUUUUUUUUUUUUUUUUUUGGGUCUCCUUCCCCCUCAUAAUCAAAGAGUUUUAAAGGAAUCCCACUGGAUUCAAAAUGACACCCCGAUUUUGCCGAUCUUCUUUGUGUAUUUACGCGGGUGAUAAUUUUUCUAUCGUUUUUGAGUAGUAAGAAAUUUAGGGUUUCUCAAGUGUUAUCUGUAUGGUUUAGAAUGUGAAUUGUAUGGCCCUGCCCUAUUAUUGAUUCUACAGUGAGAUUACUUUGGGGUCACUCUUCUUGUCAAAGUUGCCUUCCAGCCUCAUUGGCUCCGCCGCCACUCUCCCCUCCCCUCCCCCCGCCCGACCGCCCGCCCGCCGCACACACAAAGCAUGUCCCUCCCGCGUUCUCUUUGCCACUCCAGUCUUAGCCCCAUGGGGGCGCUGCAGAGCAAAGGGAAAUGUCCCUCUGGCAGUAGAACCAACCAGAGUGGGGGCUGGGAAUGAAUUCACCCUUCUUGAAGCUUAGUUCUCUUUAAUUCUCUGCGGGGAGCCCUUGGAGGGAGACCCCACCAGGCCAGGUUUAUAGAUAAUUAAUCCCACCACCAGGGACCUCAGACUUUCUCAGCACAUUAUUUUUGGGGCGGGUGCCAGAGUCUCACAUUUUUACUACUGUUGGGGGCGGGGGCAUUUGUUUCUUUUGCCAAAUUAAAGUGUUUACCUUGAAAGAAAUUUAUCAGAACAAGAGAUAAGUUAAAAAUUAUGGAAAAGAUGUUAACGCUACAGAUUUACUAUAGAUAUAUCUCUUCUCUCUACUGAGUGAAUGGUGAGGAAAAUUGUGCACCCACUUUUCAAUCUUGUUUCAAUUCCUAGGCAAAUAAGUAACUUUAUCAAACUCUAUAUCGAUUGAAUAUCUUCUAAAAUGUCCUGUCUUUUCUCAUUCUUGAUCUCUCCCCAUUUAGCCAGUUGGCUUCUCUAUGUGGUCCGCGCUCACUCCAGCAGGAUUAAAGAAAGGAUUGACUUGAAUAUAUUUAAAUUCUUUUAAAUCAUCCUUAAGAAGCUCUAUAGAGAGAUUCCAUUUCUGGGGUCUUAGGUGUGAUUCCUGUGGACUUGGAGGAGCUAUGUAUCAACCAGUCCUGUGAUUUAAUGGUUACUGACUUUUAAUACUCAAGAGUACAGGACCAGACCAGCCCCUUUGCCUGGUGGCCUGGGUGGUCUGGGCAUAGUAAGAGGUUCUCAAUCACCAGUUCUGAGUAAAGAUAAGCUUUGUUACAAAAUAAAAUAGCUUGGCCCUAAUAUUACUUCUAGUUAAGAAGAGGAACAGAUUUUUGCCUCCAGUUCCCCUCAUGAAACCUUGCCCACAGUUCAGUCAUCUCUGAAAAGGAAACUAUACUUGGAAUAAACACUGUCAUGGCCUAUUUCUAAGGGGCUCCAAACCGGAAAUGAGUUUCACCUGUCAGGAGCUUUUGGCACCUUGGUAGAUCUUUAAACUUUCACAUCACAGAAUUAUAGAUUGUGGAACGGGAAGGAUCCCUGCAGAUCUAUGACUCAACUCCUGGAGGCUUCCUUCUUUCAAGAGGACAGGACAGCCCUCACUGAGGCAUGUGGGACCCCAGGACACAACUGAAAACAGAUCUUUGUGGUGUAAUGGUUUUGUGUCAUUUUAGAGAAUCAGGGUGAUCUGACUACCUGGAUUUGGAGGUGAGUAUCUUGUUUUCUGGCAGAACUGAGGAAAGGAAGGCUGCUUUGGGCUCUGUGUAAAUCGUAAGCCAGUUCUCGGAACAAACUUCAAGUCCCGAUGAAUAUUGGGCUUGGAGGGUCAUUUGGGACUUGGUUAUGCUUGUCACCCCUGCUACAGCACUCAACACUAUUUGUGAAGGAUAAGGGAGAUCUUAUUUAUCCAUUCGUUUUAUUUCAAAUCUUUUACUUAGAGCUAUUGUAAGCGAGCUCCCUAUAUUAUCUUUAGAGAAAGAAAGAAAUUUUCUUGGUAUGAUUUAGAGAAAUUGAGCAGAAACUUUUGAGACAUUAAAAAAAAUAAGGAAGAUGAUUUCCAGCCACUACCUUCAGAAAAAGAAGUGUCAACGUUUAAUUUUGAUCCAUAUGCUGCCUGCUUUCAGCCUGUAUUAAUUCUGAGCCUUUUUUUUUCUUUAGAAACCUUUUCAGCCUAGCUCAGAGUUUUCCCCCAAAACACUGAUUUUUUUUUCCUACACUUUUCUCACUUAUUUAAAAUGGAAAUAAAUAUCAGGAGCUUAAAAUAGAGAAGCGAUGGGGGUGCAUAAUCAUUUGUUUAUUGCCUUCAAUCACUGUUUUGAAUAACAGGGUUUUCACUUCCUAUGAAACCUUAGCAUGAGGGAAAGCAGCAGCUGGACCAGGAGGGAGAUGCAGGGAGGAAAGCACUUGAGUGUUUGUCAACUCAGGGUGUCUGGCCCACCCUCCCGCCAGGCUGCCUUACUUAGCUGUCUUUACUACCUAAGGCUAGAAGUGGAAAAACUUGAUUUGCGUGUUGUGCCUGCAUUUUUUUUUUUUCCUUCUCCACACCGCCCUCUGUACACCUGACCAUGCCAAAGCCUAUCUGAAGCCGGCUUGACUGCAGGCAGAGCUGGAGAGCAGAAGAAUGUGCAGAGGGAGGGAGUGCUCGGUACUUUUCCAUUCACAUCUCCACAGUGGCUUUUCUUGUUUAUUUCAACCUCCACCCGCAGAACCCUUUCAGCUGCCUGAAAUCCGAGUCAUUAAACUGUUCCCUGAGGUCAGACCACAGAUGCUUGGUGCAUGUUUCCUACGUGUCCACGUCUAUGUAACAUAUGUACAUACAGAGAAAUAGGCACAAACGUGUAACUCCAUGGGGGCACAGUGUGAGGUAAAAGAAAAACAAAACAAAACAUGGAUUUCUUGCCAAAGAACCUUGGUUUCUAAUUACGGUUCUGCCUGGAACUCCUUAUGGGACAUGGGGCGAAACCACGUGUCAGGACUCAGUUUCCUCAACAGUUUGAAGGAGUAACCCAGAUGUUUUGUAGGCUGUCUCUCUAUUCUAACUUUUAUACUUUUAUAGCUAAAUACACAUUUAGAUAACUUUAAGGUGAGGGGGGCUGGAAAAGAGGCAAGUGUAUAUGUGUCCCUGAGGUGAGAGAAGGAGUUAAAAUGUAAACUUCUAAGUAAAGAAGGCACUCCCAGAAUCCUCACCUCUAUCAAUUUUUAACCAAUUGUGGACCAAAGUCUGGGAUUCUGCUGAGUAAGUCCAAAAGCCAACUGAAGAUUUUCAAUGUUAAGAGCUGGAGGAAGCCAAUUCUAAGACGUUAUACCUUUGAUCUCCAGCAUUUAUAAUCAGAUGUGACAGUUCCCAAGCAUCUUUUCUGCACUAUGUUUUUUGUUUUUUUUUUCCUUCUUUUUCUGUUUGUUUUUGGAAAUUGUCCCAGUCAGUGAUAGGACUUGUAAGCUGGACACUCUUUAAGCCGCUAGGCUCCACAUGGAUGUAAAAAAUAUGUCAUAAUAGUCAUAAACACACACACACACACACACACACACACACACACACGAAGAAAAAGGAGGGAAAAAAAAAAAAACCUAGAGAGAGAUUCCUGGUGAGAAACUUAGAAGUACUUCAGCCGUCAUCGCAUUAAAGGUAAUUAUUUGAAGUCAGAGGAAAUAACAGAUGAGAAGUUUGCCCUUAUUAAAAUAAAUAAAUAAAUAAAUAAGCCUUGCUCUACCAGAACAAACUUGAAGGCAAUGAAAGAGAUAUUUUCCAUCAAUACUUUGUAUCCUUUUUAGAUCUCCACUCUUUAAAAAGAAAGGUCUAAGGCCUGCUUAUCUGGACAAAGAAAGUCCUUUAACAGACUUUGGCAUCUGCAGGAAAUAAUAAAGUAACUCCUAUUUAUUAAACGCCAACCUCCCCACCAACUGUGCCCUUCCACUCAGACCUUCUGGAAUAUGGAUGCCCACAUACAAGAAGAGAUGGAGCCAAUUACAUUCUCUAAGGGAAAACUAUUGAGAGUUGUCAUGUGCAACCCUGGGAGGGUCCUCAGCAAUUUUCCAAUCCAACAUGACCGAUAGUGUGUAAUUGAAAAUUGAGGCCCACACAGAAUGCAUUUGCCACAUGCACUGCAUCAAACUGAACCAGAUCCAGAACUCUGAUGUCCUGGUUUUAAAUCCAUUGUGUUUUUCCAUGGCUUAUUGUGAAAAGAGGAUGUGGGGUAAGCAGCCCUGCAAAAGAGCCAUUUGCCAUGACCUUCCCUUCAGAGAAGGCCCCACCUUUGGUCUUUUGACAUCAGCUCCACUGAAGUUCUAGUCGGUCUUAGCCGUACACUGACAGGAUGGAAAGGAGCAGACCGUCAUCCAUACAUUCUGUGUGUGUCCCAGUAGAGGACCCAGCAUAGGAGGCCCCACAGGCUCCUGUGGUACUGUGAUUUAAUACUGUUAAUAAACCUAUAAUUGUCUCAUGAAGAGUACAACUGUGCUGUAAUUGUAUGUAUGUUAGUGUUAAAAAUGUAAAAUGUAAUAUAUUUUUGGCCUAGAAGCAAUGAUGCUGCAGUAUCAAAGACCCUGCCUGGUGCCAGAUCUUAAUUUCUGAUACUUUUCUCCAGUAAGAAAAGCAAGGCAGGAGCUUCUCCCAGGAGGGAAAAUUGCUGGUUCUAUAUCUCCAAACGGGACAGGGAGUAUGGAACAUAGCACCCUAAAUAAGGAAGCACUAAAAAGCAAACAAACAAAGCCCACAUUGAUGGGGAAGAUUUCAAAGAGACACUGGAGCCACCUGAAGAGCUUCCAAUAGUCAAAGCCAGAGAAUUUUUGAGGGGGGAAAAUUGAGUAAUAUUGAAUUACAAUCCAAAGUAUAAAGUAAAUGUACACGAAUCCUCAGUGAUAUGAAUAAAUUUUAAAUAAAUUAAUAAAUGGGAGAAAAGAGACAAUUCUCCCUUGCAGAAUUCCAAAUAAUUUAUGCAGAAACACUGCUCUCAAAGAUGGGGGUGGAGGUGGUGGGGGGCGUGUUUAACUCCUCACUCCUCCAAUGUGAACUAGGCAUAGUGACUUCCUUCCAAAGGCUAGAAUAUGGGAAGGGAGGAAAUGAGGGAGGGAAUAAUUUUACAUGUAGAAACCUGACAGACACUGCACCAGCCAGGUUAUCAAGGUCUAUAUCAGCAAUUAUAAACCAGGGUGAUUGUAUGUACCUUGGAUAUGAAGUGAUGAGAAUGGCUCUUUACCUCUGUGGUCUUCUCCCCAAACCCCAGUGUACUUAUGAGAAAUGUAUCAAAUUCCAACAGAGGAGCCUUUUACAAUAUACUUCACUAGUGCUUCUCAAAACCAUCAAGGAAAGUCCGACAAACUGCCACAGCCAAGAGUAGCCUAAGAGAUAUGACAAUAUAAUAUAGUAUCAUGGAUGGGAUCAUGGAACAGAAAAAGACUUAAGGUCAAGCCAGACAACUAUGAAUAAAUGAUGAACUUCAGUU
rnacentral:lncRNA from 1 species